UUUUAUGGAGAGUUUGAUCCUGGCUCAGGAUGAACGCUGGCGGCGUGCCUAAUACAUGCAAGUCGAGCGAACGGACGAGAAGCUUGCUUCUCUGAUGUUAGCGGCGGACGGGUGAGUAACACGUGGAUAACCUACCUAUAAGACUGGGAUAACUUCGGGAAACCGGAGCUAAUACCGGAUAAUAUUUUGAACCGCAUGGUUCAAAAGUGAAAGACGGUCUUGCUGUCACUUAUAGAUGGAUCCGCGCUGCAUUAGCUAGUUGGUAAGGUAACGGCUUACCAAGGCAACGAUGCAUAGCCGACCUGAGAGGGUGAUCGGCCACACUGGAACUGAGACACGGUCCAGACUCCUACGGGAGGCAGCAGUAGGGAAUCUUCCGCAAUGGGCGAAAGCCUGACGGAGCAACGCCGCGUGAGUGAUGAAGGUCUUCGGAUCGUAAAACUCUGUUAUUAGGGAAGAACAUAUGUGUAAGUAACUGUGCACAUCUUGACGGUACCUAAUCAGAAAGCCACGGCUAACUACGUGCCAGCAGCCGCGGUAAUACGUAGGUGGCAAGCGUUAUCCGGAAUUAUUGGGCGUAAAGCGCGCGUAGGCGGUUUUUUAAGUCUGAUGUGAAAGCCCACGGCUCAACCGUGGAGGGUCAUUGGAAACUGGAAAACUUGAGKGCAGAAGAGGAAAGUGGAAUUCCAUGUGUAGCGGUGAAAUGCGCAGAGAUAUGGAGGAACACCAGUGGCGAAGGCGACUUUCUGGUCUGUAACUGACGCUGAUGUGCGAAAGCGKGGGGAUCAAACAGGAUUAGAUACCCUGGUAGUCCACGCCGUAAACGAUGAGUGCUAAGUGUUAGGGGGUUUCCGCCCCUUAGUGCUGCAGCUAACGCAUUAAGCACUCCGCCUGGGGAGUACGACCGCAAGGUUGAAACUCAAAGGAAUUGACGGGGACCCGCACAAGCGGUGGAGCAUGUGGUUUAAUUCGAAGCAACGCGAAGAACCUUACCAAAUCUUGACAUCCUUUGACAACUCUAGAGAUAGAGCCUUCCCCUUCGGGGGACAAAGUGACAGGUGGUGCAUGGUUGUCGUCAGCUCGUGUCGUGAGAUGUUGGGUUAAGUCCCGCAACGAGCGCAACCCUUAAGCUUAGUUGCCAUCAUUAAGUUGGGCACUCUAAGUUGACUGCCGGUGACAAACCGGAGGAAGGUGGGGAUGACGUCAAAUCAUCAUGCCCCUUAUGAUUUGGGCUACACACGUGCUACAAUGGACAAUACAAAGGGCAGCGAAACCGCGAGGUCAAGCAAAUCCCAUAAAGUUGUUCUCAGUUCGGAUUGUAGUCUGCAACUCGACUACAUGAAGCUGGAAUCGCUAGUAAUCGUAGAUCAGCAUGCUACGGUGAAUACGUUCCCGGGUCUUGUACACACCGCCCGUCACACCACGAGAGUUUGUAACACCCGAAGCCGGUGGAGUAACCUUUUAGGAGCUAGCCGUCGAAGGUGGGACAAAUGAUUGGGGUGAAGUCGUAACAAGGUAGCCGUAUCGGAAGGUGCGGCUGGAUCACCUCCUUUCUAA
rnacentral:rRNA from 1 species